AGGGCCCACCUGGCUUGGCGCAGAUUCAGUCUCCAUAUGUACUCAAGGUUCCGAUGGUCGGUGAGGAUGACGAAUCGUUCCUUGGCAUCCUCCAGCUACUUCACCGCCGAGAGCUCCCGAUCGCCGAUUUCAUAAUUGCUCUCUGCGGGGCACAGUUUCUCGGAGAAGAAAGCACAAGGAUACAAUUUUAGUGGGUCUCCCCUGUCGUUGUGUCCAAACUUCCCCCAGACCCACCUCCGAUGCGUCUACCUCAACCACAAAAGGUAGAGUGGGAUGAUCUGAUCCCAUGAUCUUAUCGCAUCUGUCACGCCCUGACCUUAGUUAUCCAUGUGUUCUGUAUUAUUUUGGUCAGGUCAGGGUGUGACGAGGGUGGGUAUAUGUGUUUUUAUCCUGUCUAGGGUUUUUGUAUGUUUAUGGUGUUUACUAGUCUAGGGGUUUAUAUGUCUAUGGUUGCCUGGAUUGGUUCUCAAUCAGAGGCAGCUGUUUAUCGUUGUCUCUGAUUGGGGACCAUAUUUAGGUAGCCAUAUUCCUUGGGUAUUUUGUGGGUUAUUGUUGAUGGUUAGUUGUAUGUCAACACUCGUUAUAUAUAGCUUCACGGUUGUUUUGUUGAUUUGUUUAGUUUGUUCAGUGUUCUCUUUUAUUAAAGAGGAAUGUAUUCAUAUCAUGCUGCGCCUUGGUCUCCUCGUUAUGACGAACGUGAUAGAAUAACCCAUCAAACCUGGACCAAGCAGCGUGAAAGGGAGGAACAGCGCUUGGUGGAAAAAUGGACCUGGGACGAAAUACUGGACGGUAAAGGAUCCUGGACGUGGGAGGAGAUUUUGGCAGGAGAGGAUUGCCUACCAUGGAGGCAGGUGGAAACAAAGCAGGAGGAACAGAGAAGUAAGAGAGGACAGCAACAACGUCGGGGAGGUAGGCCACAGAAACCCCAAGAUUUUUUGGGGAGGCACAUGGAGCAGUCGGCGAAGUUGAGGGGUGAGUCUGAGAUUGUCGAGGAGUUAUUGGACAGAUUGGAGGAGAGUGAAGAGAGAGAGCUGUUGGUUUGGUGUAGUAUGCAUGGCAUUCGCCCUGAGGAGCAUGUUAGCUGUCCAAUGCCACCUGUGUCAGUUCCUCGUAUUCAUCCUGAAACGUGUCAAAGUUCCAGAAAAAUUUAUGCCGGCUAUACACACCAGGUCUCCAGUGUACCGUCACAACCCGGUGUGUACUGUUCCUGCUCCCCACACUCGCCCUGAGGUGCGUGUCACCAGCCCGGGGUCUCCAGCGACGGUCCCCAGUCCGGGGUCUACAGGAAAGGUUCCCAGUCCGGGGUCGCCAGCGAUGAACCGCAGCAAUGAGCCUCCGGCGAUGAUCCACGGGUCAGUGCUACAAGGGCGGAUGGCUCAAUGUAAAGAAGGGGGGCAGCGUCCAGAACCAGAGCCGCCACCAAAGUUAGAUGCCCACCCAGACCCUCCCAUAUAUGUUUAGGUUUGCGGCAGGGAGUCCGCACCUUUGGGGGGGGUUAUAUGUCUAUGGUUGCUUAGAUUGGUUCUCAAUCAGAGGCAGCUGUUUAUCGUUGUCUCUGAUUGGGGACCAUAUUUAGGUAGCCAUAUUCCUUGGGUAUUUUGUGGGUUAUUGUCUAUGGGUGCAUGUCAGCACUCGUUAUAUAUUGUUUCACUGUCGUUUUGUUGUUUUGUAUAGUUUGUUCAGUGUUCUCUUUUAUUAAAGAGGAAUGCAAUUCAUAUCACGCUGCGCCUUGGUCUCCUCAUUAUGAGGAACGUGAUAGCAUCUACCUUCUUGUCCUCCAUCCUUACUCACUGCAGGGCUGAUUUGGUAGCCCAAAAAGGAGACAGCCCUCUGGUGGAAUUGGCAAUUCUCCGCCUUGAUGAACAGGUGGUUAGCCAAGAGGCGUUCCAGAACUGCUCGAACGUGAGUGAUGUGAUUUCCCAGGUUGUUCGAGAAGAUCAGGAUGUCAUCGAUGAACAUAAUCACCUGACGUCCGAGCAUGUCCCUGAACACCUUGUUGACGAAUGCCUGGAACACUGACGGAGCAUUGGCUAAGACAAAGGGCAUAACCAAGUACUCGUAGUGACCAGACAUCGCGCUGAACGCCGUCUUACACUCAUCCCCCUCCCAAAUGCGAAUGAGAUUGUAGGCACUCCGCAGGUCCAGUUUGGUAAAGAACCAGGCCCCUGCGGUGCUGUUCGAUGGCUGACGGCACCAGCGAGAGAGGGUACUGAUACUUCAUGGUGAUGUCAUUUAGUCCACGGUAAUCGAUACAAGGGCGUAAUCCUCCCUUCUUCUUGGCCACGAAGAAGAAACCAGCCGAUGCAGGGGACGUGGACCUGCGGAUGAAACCCUGUUGGAGCGCCUCUUGAAUGUAGUCCUCCAUGGCCUGUGUCUCAGCCACCGACAGAGAGUAGAUGUGUUUGCACGGAGGUGUAGCACCGGAAAACAGGUCAAUGGCACAGUCCCAGGGGCGAUGUGGAGGGUGACAGGUAGCGCGGGUCUUGGAGAAUACCUCCAAGAUGUUGGGCUGGAGGGCAUCCACAGGAUUCUCAACCCACGUGGAACCACAGGGGACAGGAAAGCAGGUCUUCCGGCAUUCAGGUGAACAGUCAGUGAUUCUCAUCCUCGACCAUGAGAUGGUAUGGUUAGGGUGCUGAAGCCAAAGUAGGCUGAGGAUGAUCUUGUGAACUGGUGCACUGGUGAUGAAGAAGGGGAUGUUUUCUUGGUUAUUGGGCUCCAUGGUGAAGGUGAGUAGUUGGGUGAUGUGUGUGAUGGUUCCGGAUCCUAGAGGCCGACAGUCGAGACCUUGAACCGGAAAAGGAGAGGGAAAUGGGUAGGUAGUAAUAUUGACAGAGGAGGCAAAGGUCUGAUCCGUAAAGUUCCCCGCAACACCGGAAUCCACUAAAGCUGUAGAUACGGGGCACGAGGGACAGUCAGCCAGAGUGAUGGGUACUAAAAAGAGUCUAACAGGAAGAGCAGUAGAUGGAAUACUCACUUCUGGUCCAGUGGAUGUAACAUCAU
ensembl:lncRNA